UCUACCCCUCUCCUGCUGUGACUGCUGCUGAUGUGGUGUCUCUGGGAGGAAGGACUGAAGACCUCUUUGAUCUGAUUUCAUCUCUGGAGAAUGACACAGGACUGCAAUCCCAGCACCAUCCUGGAGAUGUGCUGUUUAAAGUCACUGUUGAAAUCAAACCCAAGGACUGGAUUCCUCAUGGUGGAAAUGAGUUCCAAAAUGAUUUCCUUGAAUCUUUGAAGAAUUACAUCCAGAAGAACCUGAAGCUUUCUGCCAAUAGAGUCGGUGAAAUAAAGUUCAAGGAUGUCAAAAGGACGAGUGAUGCCAACCUGCUGCUCACCUUCUGGCUGCACUUGGAGCCAGAGGAAAGGAACGUGUCUCUGCUUCUGCGUUCCCAGCUGGAGGAGCUGCUUAGCACCUCGGUGGGCGUGGAGAAGC